AUUACAGACAUGAGCGACUGUGCCUGACCAAAGGUCAACAUUAAACAACAAACCUUGGCCAGGCGCAGUGGCUCACGCCUGUAAU
ensembl:miRNA